GUUGGUGACCAGCGGAGGGAUCAUUACCGAGUUUACAACUCCCAAACCCAAUGUGAACCAUACCAAACUGUUGCCUCGGCGGGGUCACGCCCCGGGUGCGUCGCAGCCCCGGAACCAGGCGCCCGCCGGAGGGACCAACCAAACUCUUUACUGUAGUCCCCUCGCGGACGUUAUUUCUUACAGCUCUGAGCAAAAAAUUCAAAAUGAAUCAAAACUUUCAACAACGGAUCUCUUGGUUCUGGCAUCGAUGAAGAACGCAGCGAAAUGCGAUAAGUAAUGUGAAUUGCAGAAUUCAGUGAAUCAUCGAAUCUUUGAACGCACAUUGCGCCCGCCAGUAUUCUGGCGGGCAUGCCUGUCCGAGCGUCAUUUCAACCCUCGAACCCCUCCGGGGGGUCGGCGUUGGGGAUCGGGAACCCCUCAGACGGGAUCCCGGCCCCGAAAUACAGUGGCGGUCUCGCCGCAGCCUCUCCUGCGCAGUAGUUUGCACAACUCGCACCGGGAGCGCGGCGCGUCCACGUCCGUAAAACACCCAACUUUCUGAAAUGUUGACCUCGGAUCAGGUAGGAAUACCCGCUGAACUUAAGCAUAUCAAUAA
rnacentral:rRNA from 1 species